AGUGAACGUUGGCGGCGUGGAUUAGGCAUGCAAGUCGUGCGGAAAGGCUCCCUCGGGAGUACUCGAGCGGCGAAAGGGAGAGUAACGCGUGGAUAUCUACCCCCUGGACUGGGACAGCGGCGGGAAACUGCCGGUAAUACCAGAUAACGUCUGCGGACCAAAGGUGUGAUUCCGCCGGGGGAUGAGUCCGCGUCCUAUUAGCUUGGUGGUGGGGUAACGGCCUACCAAGGCGAAGAUGGGUACCGGGUGUGAGAGCAUGGCCCGGCUCACUGGGACUGAGACACUGCCCAGACACCUACGGGUGGCUGCAGUCGAGAAUCGUGGGCAAUGGGCGCAAGCCUGACCGAGCGACGCCGCGUGCGGGAUGAAGGCCUUCGGGUUGUAAACCGCUGUCAGAGGGGAGGAAAUGCAUGAGGGUUCUCUCUCAUGUUUGACCUAUCCUCAGAGGAAGUACGGGCUAAGUUCGUGCCAGCCGCCGCAGUAAAAC
rnacentral:rRNA from 1 species